rnacentral:lncRNA from 1 species
GUUGAAAUAAGUAAUCAUGCAAAGACAACAGUGUGUACUGCAUCUCAGGGCCCCAAGGCCCCGGUGACAGGGAGCUCAGAUGUCGCAGGGCUGGAAGCAGAGCCAAGCCCCAUCUCUUCGGCUCAUGCUGAACCACGGCUCGGCCGGAAGAGUGUGGAUUCUGUUCCUCUCUGUCUCACGUGGUCGGGAUUACGUUGCCUCACUCUCCAAGAACCUCAGUUUCCCCAACCAGGGAAUGGGACUGCUCAAGGACAAACCUAUCUUCCUAAAGGGAUGAAAUGAUGCAAGCAGGAGUUCUUUCAUUUAAAACCCGAGCAGCAGCAGCGAUGCUGAAAAGAACAAUCACGGAAGAAUUCAUUCCUGCAGGAAUAUAAGAGCUUACAAUUUAACUGCUAUGAACCAUGGAGACUGGAACAGCUGCCUCCCAACACUGGGUGAAAUACUUUUGCUCUGGAAGCCAACUGGGAAGCAGGACUCCUGGGGUCUUUUUCCUGGACCUCUUGAUUUUGUGCACCAUCAAGUCCCCAUAUUGCCUUCUUGUUUGCUCUGGAGAGAAGGGAGCAUCUGCC